rnacentral:misc_RNA from 1 species
GGAAUAAUCAAUAUGCACAAUUUCAAUACAACAAUAAUUCAAAUACAACAAAUUGCCUAAAUUUCAGCAUAAGCAGCGCUCAUCAUUAAUUAUGAUUUCUCAUUUGUUUUAAAGUUCUUUUUGCACAACAAAAAAUUGAAAUCAUUCAGAGAUAUUGCUAAACAAUAAUAGCAAUACCUAUUCAUUUACUUGGUAAAAUUUGGGCCUACAACCUGUUAAACCAACCUACACAAGGAAAUGAGUCGAAGGCAGUGUAAGGUCUAAACCAGAAACCUUUUCUUGUCCUCACGAGGAAAAAGGAACAAAAUAAGUGCUUUAAUAUAUCCAUUUUGAUAUCUCAUAAAACAUGAGAAAAGUGCAUAAAUUUGGUCAAAGUAAUACUCUUGUUUGGUUGAAACUAAAGAAGGUGAAAAGCAGUAAGCACAUGUAGAAAUAUCUGAAUUACUUAAAAAAAAUGUCAACAAAAAUUUUAGCUUGAAUUUCCAAUGUCAAACUGAAGGUAAUGUGAUGCAUUUCUAAUUUUCUAUGUGACAGAAAACAAAUUCUAGUCCAAUCAGAAACAAUCUAGGUCUUCUGCACAUUAUUGCACCCUUCUUAGUUAGUUACAAUAACAAGAUUAAUCUUGCAUGCAGAACAAGUAAUUUGAAAAGAAAAAGGAGUCAAUUUUCUCAUGCUCCUAACUGCAUUAGAAAACAAGUCAAAUUAAUAUCAGGCGCCAAAGAAAAGUUACAAAAUAAGAUUUACUCUUAACCAAACAUAUAAAUUAACUUGACUCUUUAUCAAGAAACUGAUAUAAAUUUCAAUUGAACAUUUACAACAUGGGGCAAAAGAGAGAGAUUGCAGAAUGAACUACUGCAAGGUCUAUAAUUCAAACAAUGAAAUCGGCUUAAUGCUCGCUAA